AUCACGGUUCACAGCGGUUCAGUUCUGGUUGCAGGAUGUGGAAGAUUACUGCCCACAAUCUGCCUUCACACGACAAGCCUUUCCUCUGCUUUUCCGUUGCCCUGCAAGAAUGAUGUUCUUCGCGUGAACCAGCGCCCUGUGUCGAGUCGACCAAUGUCCUACCUCGCUUCCCCGUGCGUCAGCCAAUCAAUGGGCAGAGGUUUAUCACGCCACACUCCCGACUGUUCAUCCCUCACCCGUCUUCCCAGGGCGUGAAUCAAGCAAAGACCAACAGUGCCAAGCAGAGACAACUGCUUGGAAGGAUGAAGGCAAGUUAUUUUUCCGACGUGCUAGAACAGAGCGUACACAGACUCCAGUGAAGGACAUCCAGUUUCAGUCAUGGAAUUUGUGGUAGAGCAUGGGAGCAAGGAUCGAGAAUGGCUAGGCAAGCUGGGUGGUGUCCGCAGCCAGCCUGAUAGUAUCCACACCACUCCACUCUCCCUUGUUAAUUUCCACCAAGGGAGGCAGUGCACCACAUCUUACACAGGAUGUGCUGCACUGGUGGCAUGGCGUCGAUGUAAGCACUUCUUUGUAUCCCUGCCCAAAACUUUAUUGAACACAUGAAGAUGCUCAGAGUUUCAAGAAGGGAGUGGCACACACUUUGCUGUACUGCAAGUAACUGCCAAGAGGAGUACGAUCAGUUUUCCCAAAACUCAAACAAACCUUGCCCUGUGUGGCCUGCAUGUGUCGGGCUGUUGGGUGUAAUCUUGUGUUUGUCAUGUUUCUUUUGUUUGGAUACACAGUCUAACUGUUCCUAAAGAAGUAAUAUGAUGUUAAUAUAAUUUAAAUUGAAAAUCAUGUCAAGGUGGUAUUUCUUUCUAUACAUAUGUAAAGUUGACCAACAGUGGAGUGAUGGUCAGGCAUUCAGUGAGACAUGAGGCUAACUGUGUAGAAUGCGGCCCCAGAAUGAUGGUCUGUUUCUAAGUGUUGGAAGGAACAGCAUGCUCUUUAAGAAUAAUGCCAAUGUAAAAAUUACUCUUACAGACUUGAUAGUUCCUUCUAGACUCGUACAAUGAAAAUGCUCUCAAAAUACCACUCUUGUGUUCUUUAUGUGAAAAUUUAUAUGCUCACAAACUACCACUCUUGUGUUCUUUAUGUGAAAAUUUAUAUGCUCUCAAAAUACCACU